GUACUCACCCUGGCAGCACGUAUAGUACAAAAUUAGAGUGACACAGAGAUGGGCACAGCCACUGCACGAGGAUGACACAAAAAUUUGUGAAGCGUUCUUUUUUUUU